GACGAACGCUGGCGGCGUGCUUAACACAUGCAAGUCGAGGGCACUUUGGGGGCAACCCUGGAGUGACCGGCGAACGGGUGCGUAACACGUGAGCGACCUUGCCUCGUGGUGGGGGAUAGCCGGCCCAACGGCCGGGUAAUACCGCAUAGGGUGCUUCUCUCGCAUGGGAGAGGCAGCAAAGCUGUCGGGCAACCGAUGGCGCCACAGGGGGGGCUCGCGGCCUAUCAGCUAGUGGGGGGGGUAAUGGCCCACCAAGGCGACGACGGGUAGCUGGUCUGAGAGGAUGGCCAGCCACAUUGGGACUGAGAGACGGCCCAGACUCCUACGGGAGGCAGCAGUGGGGAAUCUUGCGCAAUGGCCGAAAGGCUGACGCAGCGACGCCGCGUGGGGGAGGAAGGCCUUCGGGUUGUAAACCCCUGUUGCCCGGGACGAAUGCAUUCUUUAGAGAAUGUUGACGGUACCGGGUGAGGAAGCACCGGCUAUCUCCGUGCCAGCAGCCGCGGUAAUACGGAGGGUGCAAGCGUUGUACGGAAUCACUGGGGCGUAAAGGGCGCGUAGGCUGCUC
rnacentral:rRNA from 1 species